CUACGGGGGGCUGCAGUGGGGAAUAUUGGGCAAUGGGCGCAAGCCUGACCCAGCAACGCCGCGUGAGGGAAGAAGGUUUUCGGAUUGUAAACCUCUGUCCUUGGGGACGAAGAAGUGACGGUACCCAAGGAGGAAGCUCCGGCUAACUACGUGCCAGCAGCCGCGGUAAUACGUAGGGAGCAAGCGUUGUCCGGAAUUACUGGGCGUAAAGGGUGCGUAGGCGGCAUAUUAAGUCAGGUGUGAAAUACUCGGGCUCAACCCGAGGGGUGCAUUUGAAACUGAUAAGCUUGAGUGUGAGAGAGGAAAGUGGAGUUCCUAGUGUAGCGGUGGAAUGCGUAGAUAUUAGGAGGAACACCAGUGGCGAAGGCGACUCUCUGGCUCAUAACUGACGCUGAGGCACGAAAGCGUGGGGAGCAAACAGGAUUAGAUACCCUGGUAGUC
rnacentral:rRNA from 1 species